GACGAACGCUGGCGGCGUGCUUAACACAUGCAAGUCGAGCGGUAAGGCCCUUUCGGGGGUACACGAGCGGCGAACGGGUGAGUAACACGUGGGUGACCUGCCCUCAGCUCUGGGAUAAGCCUGGGAAACCGGGUCUAAUACUGGAUAUGACUCCAUGACGCAUGUUGUGGGGUGGAAAGCCUUGUGCGGCUGAGGAUGGGCCCGCGGCCUAUCAGCUUGUUGGGGGGUGAUGGCCUACCAAGGCGACGACGGGUAGCCGGCCUGAGAGGGCGACCGGCCACACUGGGACUGAGACACGGCCCAGACUCCUACGGGAGGCAGCAGUGGGGAAUCUUGCGCAAUGGGCGAAAAGCCUGACGCAGCGACGCCGCGUGAGGGAUGACGGCCU
rnacentral:rRNA from 1 species